AUUGAACGCUGGCGGCAUGCCUUACACAUGCAAGUCGAACGGCAGCGGACCUUCGGGUGCCGGCGAGUGGCGAACGGGUGAGUAAUAUAUCGGAACGUACCUUUCAGUGGGGGAUAACGUAGCGAAAGUUACGCUAAUACCGCAUAUUCUGUGAGCAGGAAAGCAGGGGAUCGCAAGACCUUGCGCUGAUUGAGCGGCCGAUAUCAGAUUAGCUAGUUGGUGAGGUAAAGGCUCACCAAGGCGACGAUCUGUAGCGGGUCUGAGAGGAUGAUCGCCACACUGGAACUGAGACACGGUCCAGACUCCUACGGAGGCAGCAGUGGGGAAUUUUGGACAAUGGGCGCAAGCCUGAUCCAGCCAUGCCGCGUGAGUGAAGAAGGCCUCGG
rnacentral:rRNA from 1 species